rnacentral:rRNA from 1 species
ACGACUCUCGGCAACGGAUAUCUCGGCUCUUGCAUCGAUGAAGAACGUAGCGAAAUGCGAUACUUGGUGUGAAUUGCAGAAUCCCGUGAACCAUCGAGUCUUUGAACGCAAGUUGCGCCCGAAGCCAUUAGGCCGAGGGCACGCCUGCCUGGGUGUCA